GUAGAGAAAUCGAGUCUUAAUAGGGCGUUUAGUUGCUGGGUAUAGACCCGAAACCAGGCGAUCUAUCCAUGAGCAGGUUGAAGGUUGGGUAACACUAACUGGAGGACCGAACCCACUGUCGUUGAAAAGCCAGGGGAUGACUUGUGGAUAGGGGUGAAAGGCUAAUCAAGCCUGGUGAUAGCUGGUUCUCCCCGAAAGCUAUUUAGGUAGCGCCUCGGACGAAUACCAUAGGGGGUAGAGCACUGUUUCGGCUAGGGGGUCAUCCCGACUUACCAAACCGAUGCAAACUCCGAAUACCUAUGAGUACUAUCCGGGAGACAGACUGCGGGUGCUAACGUCCGUAGUCAAGAGGAAAACAAUCCAGACCGCCAGCUAAGGCCCCAAAAUCAUAGUUAAGUGGGAAACGAUGUGGGAAGGCAUAGACAGCUAGGAGGUUGGCUUAGAAGCAGCCACCCUUUAAAGAAAGCGUAAUAGCUCACUAGUCGAGUCGGCCUGCGCGGAAGAUGUAACGGGGCUAAAACUAUGUGCCGAAGCUGCGGAUGUAUACUUUGUAUACGUGGUAGGGGAGCGUUCUGUAAGCCGAUGAAGGUGUGUUGAGAAGCAUGCUGGAGGUAUCAGAAGUGCGAAUGCUGACGUGAGUAACGACAAAACGGGUGAAAAACCCGUUCGCCGAAAGACCAAGGGUUCCAGUCCAACGUUAAUCGGGGCUGGGUGAGUCGACCCCUAAGGCGAGGCCGAAAGGCGUAGUCGAUGGGAAAAUGGUUAAUAUUCCAUUACUUCUGUGUAAUGCGAUGAGAGGACGGAGAAGGCUAAAUCAGCCUGGCGUUGGUUGUCCAGGUGAAAGGAUGUAGGCAUGUAUCUUAGGCAAAUCCGGGGUACUCUAUGCUGAGAUCUGAUAGCAAGCUGUACUUGUACAGCGAAGUGGUUGAUGCCAUGCUUCCAGGAAAAGUCUCUAAGCUUCAGUUACACAGGAAUCGUACCCGAAACCGACACAGGUGGUCAGGUCGAGUAGACCAAGGCGCUUGAGAGAACUCUGCUGAAGGAACU
rnacentral:rRNA from 1 species